GACGUAGGGUGCGAGCGUUGUCCGGAUUUAUUGGGCGUAAAGAGCUCGUAGGCGGCUCGUCGCGUCGACCGUGAAAACCCGCGGCUUAACUGCGGGCUUGCGGUUGAUACGGGCGGGCUAGAGUUCGGCAGGGGAGACUGGAAUUCCUGGUGUAGCGGUGAAAUGCGCAGAUAUCAGGAGGAACACCGGUGGCGAAGGCGGAUCUCUGGGCCUUACCUGACGCUGAGGAGCGAAAGCAUGGGGAGCAAACAGG
rnacentral:rRNA from 1 species